AACGAACGCUAGCGAUAGGCCUAACACAUGCAAGUCGAGGGGCAGCAUAGAGUAGCAAUACUUUGAUGGCGACCGGCGCACGGGUGAGUAACACGUAUGCAACCUACCUACAUCAGGGGAAUAACCCGGAGAAAUUCGGACUAAUACCGCAUAAUACAGGGAUGCCGCAUGGCAAUAUUUGUUAAAGAUUUAUCGGAUGUAGAUGGGCAUGCGUUCCAUUAGCUGGUUGGUAAGGUAACGGCUUACCAAGGCAACGAUGGAUAGGGGAACUGAGAGGUUUGUCCCCCACACUGGAACUGAGACACGGACCAGACUCCUACGGGAGGCAGCAGUGAGGAAUAUUGGUCAAUGGACGAGAGUCUGAACCAGCCAAAUCGCGUGAAGGAAGACUGCCCUACGGGUUGUAAACUUCUUUUGUACAGGAAUAAAAGACAUUACGUGUAAUGUAUUGCAUGUACUGUACGAAUAAGCAUCGGCUAACUCCGUGCCAGCCGCCGCGGUAA
rnacentral:rRNA from 1 species